CAAGAUCACGGGGCGGAGCCCACGACGCUGCUGCCGGAGGGGAGCAGGCUGCGGGCGCCGCCACCCGCCGCCAAGCGCAAGUUCCCAUCAUCCGCGGUGCUAUCAGCGCGCCCGCAGGGCCUUCUUCCCCGUCGCGCGCAACGUCAACACCGUGUUCUGCGCCCUGCCACCCAAGAAGCGGAUCCGAGGGGGCUGAAGGCCGGCCGGCCGGCCGGCCGUGCAGCCACAGCUCAAUUGAGCCGCCAAUUACGGCCCCAUCCUCUCCUCUCCCUUGAAUCCCGCAGCAAGCAGUGGAGGAGGCGCCUAGAUCCGACGAAUCUUAUGGCUGUUCGUUCGAAGCUCAGGCGGGUCGGCGGUGACGCGGCCACCCACCGAUGCCGGUGGCUGCCGGAGCUGUGCUGCAGAAGCUUGGCAGCAAUGCCGCCUACGAGGUUGAGAAGGUCGGGAAGCCUCACAGCGAUGGCGCACAGGGAGCCCCAUCGUCCCGGUGCUCCAGGAGGGGCUUCGAUCGACAGGCAUCUAAUCCUCUUCUGUCAAGGAUGAAAAGCGGCGACAGCAGCCUUGGACGGAUGGAGAUGUUGGGAUGCCUGGCCAGGGUGUCAAGUGACCGACCAGCUCCGCACUUGCUUGAGGUCCUUUUGUUCUAUGUUGGGAACUCGAUUUUUGUUACAGGAAAAUGGACUAGCAAGGCGGGGGUCGACGGCUACCUGGAGGAAGGUGCUGCGCCUAGCCGCCGCCGCUGCCGUCGCCUCGGGAUCCCGCGGGGAAGAAAGGGAGCACGCUGCGCUGGCGCGGCGGUCGGCAGAGGCUGCGGCCGGAUCCGGGAAGGCGACAGCCUCGCUCCCCCGCGCUGCCCACACCGGCCGCCUCUGCGUCGAGGAGGCGCCACUGGGCGUGGAGCCGAGCCAAGUGGUCGUGCCGCCGCCGGAGGAGAAGUGGUUCUGCAUUAUCGACUCAUCCCCUGUGUAAGCGGAUGGAGCUGGAAGGGUAAUCAGGAUCGAUGGUCAUGUCAUCAUGUGGGGAUGUUCUUGAAUCAUCAUGCUCUGAGCUAAGAACCAGAUGGUAAUCCCCAUGACCUCAGUUCAUUUUGCAUAAAUUUGGGUGUUGGUUUCAAAUAUAUAAAUUUUAUAUGUCAGGUUACACUUGUGAACUCAUUUUCAGUUUCGUGGAUCAAAGUACUUCAAAUACAUUUGGUAAAGCAUGUUGGUUGGACAAAUUGCAUGGUGUUAGUGCCAUACUUUAAGGACAUAAUUAUCCUAUGAUGUUUCAAGUAAGUAGGAAAUCAUUGUGUCCACUUGUGCAUGCUUGUUUAUAUUGUAUGAAUUAUGAUGAUGGUAACACCAGCAGAUAUUUCCUCAUUCCAAGGAGACGGAGCUAGAUAUGAUAUGAGUUUUCUUUGUUGCCCUCAUGUAGAAUGCUUCCUUUGGUUCGCAAGUUGCGAUGCUUUGACUAAUCAUUCCUGCAAGUGGAAGGAAUUGAUUUCAGUGUUGGACCACCCAAUAAAUCCCAAACAUGUGUGCUUCCCUUGCAUGCUAUUUUGGGCCAUUGUCUUCAUGUUGUGCUUCAUUUGCUGCCUGCUUCAUGCCAUGGGGAAUUUCUGUCAUUUCCAGCGAUACUGCACACGUGUUGGGAGAUGGAUGAUCUAGGGCCUAUAAUCAUUUGGUUCAAGUCUCCGGCACUAAUGGCCGCAUCUUCGUAUUCAAGCACAGCUUCUCUCCUACCGGCCAAGACAGUUGAUCGUUCAGCAUUGUAACAAUUAAUGGCCGAAUGUUUCCCCAACAUCCUCACCAAGCUUUGCAUGGUGUGCAGCAAACAAAAUUCCAGGCAUAUUCAGAGACGACCGGUACGCCAUGCCGGUGCUGAUCGCGAGGGCACUCCUAGGCGAUCUCUUGCAUUGGUUUGCUCCAUGAAUGCUUGAUGUCAAUAAAAAUUCUUUUUUUCAACAUUUCUUGAAAACUCGAUGUCCAUAAAAGUUAUUGUGGUGCUGUAUUGAAUAUGUUGGUGCCGCACAUGCCUUUCCAUAAAUGUAAAAUUCUUAUUUGUCAUAA